GGCGAAUGGUUACGCUGUCCGCUUUGUAAGCGGAUGAUUCUGGGUUCGAUUCCCAU
rnacentral:tRNA from 1 species